rnacentral:tRNA from 1 species
CAGAGAGUAGUAUAUAGAGAAUAUCA